rnacentral:rRNA from 1 species
UAGGGAAUUUUCCGCAAUGGGCGAAAGCCUGCCGGAGCAACGCCGCGUGAGUGAUGAAGGUCUUCGGAUCGUAAAACUCUGUUAUUAGGGAAGAACAAAUGUGUAAGUAACUAUGCACGUCUUGACGGUACCUAAUCAGAAAGCCACGGCUAACUACGUGCCAGCAGCCGCGGUAAUACGUAGGUGGCAAGCGUUAUCCGGAAUUAUUGGGCGUAAAGCGCGCGUAGGCGGUUUUUUAAGUCUGAUGUGAAAGCCCACGGCUCAACCGUGGAGGGUCAGUGGAAACUGGAAAACUUAAGUGCAGAAGAGGAAAUUGGAAUUCCAUGUGUAGCGGUAAAAUGCGCAGAGAUAUGGAGGAACACCAGUGGCGAAGGCGACUUUCUGGUCUGUAACUGACGCUGAUGUGCGAAAGCGGGGGGAUCAAACAGG